rnacentral:rRNA from 1 species
UAGCAUAUCAAUAAGCGGAGGAAAAGAAACCAACCGGGAUUGCCUCAGUAACGGCGAGUGAAGCGGCAAGAGCUCAAAUUUGAAAUCUGGCCCCCUCGGGGUCCGAGUUGUAAUUUGCAGAGGAUGCUUCGGGUGCGGCCCCCGUCUAAGUGCCCUGGAACGGGCCGUCAUAGAGGGUGAGAAUCCCGUCUGGGACGGGGUGUCCGCGUCCGUGUGAAGCUCCUUCGACGAGUCGAGUUGUUUGGGAAUGCAGCUCUAAAUGGGUGGUAAAUUUCAUCUAAAGCUAAAUACUGGCCGGAGACCGAUAGCGCACAAGUAGAGUGAUCGAAAGAUGAAAAGCACUUUGAAAAGAGAGUUAAAAAGCACGUGAAAUUGUUGAAAGGGAAGCGCUUGCGACCAGACUCGCCCGCGGGGUUCAGCCGGCAUUCGUGCCGGUGUACUUCCCCGCGGGCGGGCCAGCGUCGGUUUGGGCGGCCGGUCAAAGGCCCCCGGAAUGUAGCACCCUUCGGGGUGCCUUAUAGCCGGGGGUGCAAUGCGGCCAGCCUGGACCGAGGAACGCGCUUCGGCACGGACGCUGGCAUAAUGGUCGUAAACGACCCGUCUUGAAACACGGACCAAGGAGUCUAACAUCUACGCGAGUGUUCGGGUGUCAAACCCGUGCGCGCAGUGAAAGCGAACGGAGGUGGGAGCCCCCCCGCGGGGCGCACCAUCGACCGAUCCUGAUGUCUUCGGAUGGAUUUGAGUAAGAGCGUAAAUGUGGGGACCCGAAAGAUGGUGAACUAUGCCUGAAUAGGGCGAAGCCAGAGGAAACUCUGGUGGAGGCUCGCAGCGGUUCUGACGUGCAAAUCGAUCGUCAAAUUUGGGUAUAGGGGCGAAAGACUAAUCGAACCAUCUGGUAGCUGGUUCCUGCGAGU